rnacentral:rRNA from 1 species
CCUACGGGUGGCAGCAGUGAGGAAUAUUGGUCAAUGGGCGCAAGCCUGAACCAGCCAAGUCGCGUGAGGGAUGACGGUCCUAUGGAUUGUAAACCUCUUUUGUCGGGGAGCAAGGCCCGCCACGUGUGGCGGGAAGGAGAGUACCCGAAGAAAAAGCAUCGGCUAACUCCGUGCCAGCAGCCGCGGUAAUACGGAGGAUGCGAGCGUUAUCCGGAUUUAUUGGGUUUAAAGGGAACGCAGGCGGUCUUUUAAGUCAGAUGUGAAAUCCACGGGCUCAACCCGUGAACUGCAUUUGAAACUGUUUCCCUUGAGUGUCGGAGAGGUAAUCGGAAUUCCUAGUGUAGCGGUGAAAUGCGUAGAUAUGAGGAAGAACACCAGUGGCGAAGGCGGAUUACUGGACGAUAACUGACGGUGAGGCGCGAAAGCGUGGGGAGCAAACAGGAUUAGAUACCCGAGUAGUC